GACGAACCGUGCAAACGUUGUUCGGAAUCACUGGGCUUAAAGGGCGCGUAGGCGGGUCGCCAAGUCAGGGGUGAAAUCUUUCGGCUUAACCGGAAAAGUGCCCCUGAUACUGGCGAUCUCGAGGGAGGUAGGGGCAUGUGGAACUUCCGGUGGAGCGGUGAAAUGCGUAGAUAUCGGAAGGAACGCCGGUGGCGAAAGCGACGUGCUGGACCUCUACUGACGCUGAGGCGCGAAAGCCAGGGGAGCAAACGGG
rnacentral:rRNA from 1 species